GAGAGAAGUUUUUAGGUAGGAAAGAGUCCAUUUGAGCUCUCAGGCUAGAAAAGCGGCUUCACUUCCAUGGCUUCACCACCGUCGCUCACCACCGCGCAACCUCCCAUGGCGGUCUCCCUCCACGGCCGCUGCACUCUCCCUCCUCAUCUUCUUCCUCCUUCCUGCAGAAUCCAGCCUCCUCCGUCCACUCCUCCUCUUUCUUCCAAGCUCCCGGUCCCGCUCCGCUCCGCCGCUCGCCGCCGCCGCCCGGCCCCGAUCGCCCCGCGGUGCGCCGUCAGGGCCGCCCUCCCGACCGUCGACCGCGCGGCGACGCCCGCCGGGAGCGGGGACGGGGAGCUCCUGCUCGAGGUCAGGGGCUUGACCGCCGUGAUUGCCGAGACGGGGCAGGAGAUUAUUAAGGGCGUUGACCUCGCCAUCUACGAGGGAGAGGUUCAUGCGAUAAUGGGGAAGAACGGUUCUGGGAAGAGCACAUUUGCGAAGGUUCUUGUUGGGCAUCCAGAUUAUGAAGUAACUGGCGGCAGUAUGAUGUUUAAAGGCGAGAAUUUACUUGAAAUGGAACCUGAGAACCGGUCACUUGCUGGGCUAUUUAUGAGCUUCCAAUCACCAGUUGAAAUACCUGGUGUCAGCAACGCUGACUUUCUCAAUAUGGCAUACAAUGCUCGAAGAAGAAAGCUUAAUCAACCUGAGCUUAGUCCAAUUGAGUUUUGGGCUUAUGUAUAUCCAAAACUUGAUCUUCUGAACAUGAAGGCAGACUUCCUGAACAGAAAUGUCAAUGAAGGAUUUAGUGGUGGAGAGAGAAAGCGGAACGAAAUUUUACAACUUGCGGUUCUUGGGGCAGAAUUAGCUAUAUUGGAUGAAAUUGAUUCUGGGCUGGAUGUUGAUGCACUUAGAGAUGUGGCAAAAGCAGUAAAUGGACUUUUGACUCCUAAGAAUUCUGUUUUGAUGAUUACUCAUUAUUUAAGACUCCUGGAGUUCAUAGAACCUAGGUAUGUCCAUGUAAUGGAGAAUGGAAAGAUUGUGAAGACAGGUGACAUCUCCAUAGCUAAAACUCUUGAAAAGGAGGGCUUCAAGGCAAUAUCUGAGAUAUAACUGCGCAUCAGCUUUAGAAGAUUUGACUUUUUAUGACAAGGCAGGAAGACAGUGCAAUUGCAGAGUCUCUCUUCAUUGCUCCAAGUUUCCUUAGAUCCAUUUGAUGGGUUUUUAACUGAUUACAGUUCCUCAAAGAAAGCUCCCUGGUAAGAAAAGACAGGUGUCCUGCCAUACAGAGGCGUAAAAUAUGUAUACUGUUGCUGAUUGAUUUGCAUUAUGAAUGGUUUGGUUGAUGUAGCUGCUUUAAAUAAUUCCAGCGGCUUUGGCUUUGCAGUAGUCUCAAUUUUGUCAUUUAUGUGAAUCCCUUUAUAUCCUCUUCGAAUUUAAGUGUAUGUGGAUGAGUUGACAGAAAGCGUGAAUGUUAUAUCCGAAUUGGGAACUUCAGUACUCGUUGAAAUGCGCAUUGUGAAACGCUGUUACAUGUUUUCCUUUGUUAA